rnacentral:misc_RNA from 1 species
AACGCACCUUGCGCUCCUUGGUAUUCCGAGGAGCAUGCCUGUUUGAGUGUCAUUAAUAUAUAUAUCAAACCUUCUCUUUGUUGAGCGGUUUUGGAUGUGGGGGUUUGCUGGCCUCUUAAAAAGGUUCAGCUCCUCUGAAAUGCAUUAGCAGAACAAACCUGUUCAUUGGUGUGAUAACUAUCUACGCUAUUGAAUGUAAGGGGCAGUUCAGCUCUCUAAUGGUCCUCGGACAAUUCAUCCAUUAAUGUGACCUCAAAUCAGGUAGGACUACCCGCUGAACUUAA